ensembl:miRNA
UUAGGUUGGUGCAAAAUUAAUUGUAGUUUUUGCCAUUGAAAGUAAUGGCAAAAACCAUGAUUACUUUUGUACCAAGAUAAUA